CACGGGGGGAGCAAGCGUUGUUCGGAAUCACUGGGCGUAAAGGGCGUGUAGGCGGUCAAGUGAGUGGGAUGUGAAAUGCCUCGGCUUACCCGAGGACCUGCAUCUCAUACUGCUUGGCUUGAGUACGGGAGAGGAUGAAGGAAUUCCUGGUGUAGCGGUGAAAUGCGUAGAUAUCAGGAGGAACACCGGUGGCGAAGGCGUUCAUCUGGCCCGAUACUGACGCUGAGGCGCGAAAGCUAGGGGAGCAAACGGG
rnacentral:rRNA from 1 species